CACUCACCGCUGCUCCAACUCCAAUUCAUCCCUGACCUCAGGUAGUAGCUUAGCACGCGUGCCUGCCAUCGUUCUAGUUCUAGCACUAUUGCUUCGAUACUAAAAGCUCGGAGGCAGUAGCGCAGAGCCAACGCAGAACAGCAACAGGUACUAUGUCUUCCAUGGCCAACUUUGCCGCUCAGCUCAAGGACAAGCUCCUCGGCCUCCUCGACCGCGUCGUCAACUGCGGCGGUGCCGGCGCCGGCGCAAACAAGGAUGUGCCCGAGGAGCCCACCAAGUUGCCAAAUGUUCAGCCGAUUGCGAUCAAGCCGAGAGAUCCCACUGUGAGCGGAGGAUCAAAGGCCGGCGUCAACUGAGAUCACCGCGAGACACUCGAUUUGUUCGUCGUCGUCGUUGUUGCGUCUUGCGUGCAUGGUUCAUAUGAUUGCCGGUGUCGCAGAUACCGUUGUAUCUGUAUGUGCAGUAUUUUAUUUCCGCUUCCAUUGGACAUUGGUUGUAAUGAAACCUUGUGAUUUGUUUUUUCCCCCUUUCGAUGAUCCCUUUGGUACAUGAGGUUUGUGUGUGCAUUUUUUCUCAAACAUGUAAUGCCAAUAAAAAAAUCAAUAAUUUGGAUUAAAGGUAUUUCCACUCAA